GGAAGUGCUCCCGGAAGGGGUUGCGGCCACCACCUCUGAGGUCCUUAAAAUCAUUUUACUCCAAAAUACAGUUCUUUGGUCACGCAGGGAUUUGAGCGGGCCAUCUCGGGACUUUUCAGUUGGCUUCCUCAGUGCGGACUUCCGGUGAAGCCCCUCUGAGGACCCUGAAGCGUUUGUCAUGACUACCAUGGCGGGGCAAGACCAACCCGGGCCUCCUUUCUGCCUUCCCGGGCUUGGGGAGUGAGGGACCUGGACCAAAGGCUGGAACCCGCAGUGGCUGCCACACACUCCCUGGCUGUGGACUGGCCUGUCGUCGGUGAUGAGAUUUGGUUGGGUGAACUAACUCAGAGGCAGUCUGUUCCUGCAGAAAUGACCUGCCAGCAGGCUCAUACCCACCCUACUCACAAAGCCCAGAGCAAAUCCUCUGUCCUGCCUGCUGUAGAGAAAGACCACUGCAUGCUGUGUUAGACUGGAUGGCUCCGUAGGGAACCCAGAAGAGUUCUUUCAGACCCCAAAGCUAACACCGUAAGGAAUCGGAGGCUUCUCAGGACCUGGUAGCAUCUGUUGGCCAUUGUGGUGGAGAACUUCGGGCAUCUCGUGAGACGCAGAAGAAAACUUGGAGAGCAUCUUUUUGGCAACUGGAAGACAUCAGUCCAGUGGCCCCAUCACACCUUCCGUGUGAUGGAAAUGAACUUGAGAAUCACUUUUCAACCUGGGGACACUGAAUAUAAUCUGCCCAGCUCCAGGCAGCCCAUGGUUCAUGUUUAUACUGUCUUUACAGACCUUCAGAGAACUCAGUCGUUGGUAUUAAAGUCUAGUUGCAGUUUUAAGAUUA